rnacentral:rRNA from 1 species
GACGUAGGGGGCGAGCGUUGUCCGGAUUCAUUGGGCGUAAAGCGCGCGCAGGCGGCCCGGUAAGUCGGAUGUGAAAUCCCACGGCUCAACCGUGGAACUGCAUUCGAUACUGUCGGGCUAGAGGCAGGUAGGGGAGAUCGGAAUUCCUGGUGUAGCGGUGAAAUGCGCAGAUAUCAGGAGGAACACCGGUGGCGAAGGCGGAUCUCUGGGCCUUACCUGACGCUGAGGCGCGAAAGCUAGGGGAGCGAACAGG